GACGAACGCUGGCGGCGUGCUUAACACAUGCAAGUCGAACGAAGUGGCGAACGGGUGAGUAACGCGUAAUCAACCUGCCCUUCAGAGGGGGACAACAGUGGGAAACGACUGCUAAUACCGCAUACUGAGGGAGGGGAAGGAGCAUGAUUAGCAGGUGGGAGGGGUAACGGCCCACCAAGGCGAUGAUCAGUAGCCGGUCUGAGAGAAUGAACGUGCACAUUGGGACUGAGACACGUCCCAGACUCCGACGGGAGGCAGCAGUGGGGAAUCUUCCGCAAUGGACGAAAUUCUGACGGAGCAACGCCGCGUGAGUGAUGACGGCCUUCGGGUUGUAAAGCUCUGUUAAUCGGGACGCGGUACCGGAAUAGAAAGCCACGGCUAACUACGUGCCAGCAGCCGCGGUAAUUC
rnacentral:rRNA from 1 species